GAUGAACGCUGACAGAAUGCUUAACACAUGCAAGUCAACUUGAACUUCGGUUUGGGUGGCGGACGGGUGAGUAACGCGUACAGAACUUGCCUCACAGAUAGGGACAACAUUUGGAAACGAAUGCUAAUACCUGAUAUUAUGAUUAUAUGGCAUCGUAUAAUUAUGAAAGCUAUAUGCGCUGUGAGAGAGCUUUGCGUCCCAUUAGCUAGUUGGAGAGGUAACGGCUCACCAAGGCGAUGAUGGGUAGCCGGCCUGAGAGGGUGAUCGGCCACAAGGGGACUGAGACACGGCCCUUACUCAUACGGGAGGCAGGAGUGGGGAAUAUUGGACAAUGGACCAAGAGUCUGAUGCAGCAAUUCGGUGUGAACGAUGAAGUUUUUCGGAAUGUAAAGUGCUUUCAGUUGGGAAGAAAAAAAUGACGGUACCAACAGAAGAAGUGACGGCUAAAUACGUG
rnacentral:rRNA from 1 species